AUAAUCGAGAAGACCCUAACGAACAUCAAGUCCAGGGCAGAGUGAACCAAGUUAGCGGAUAUAAUCUUUUCGAGAAGAUAAUAUGAAGCUCAUAAAAUAGCAACAGCUUCCCCACACUUGCUGGCUCCCUCGCUUAUCAUGCCACUGGCCUUUAGAAUAUACAGAGAUUUAAUUGCCAACAAUGAUACAAGUACUUAAGGCAGUGUUUGAUGCACAGGAAAAUUCCUUUGCAUCGGGGUAAACUUCAUGUUUUUGUACGGUUCUUCCGCUGUGCACAUGAAGUUUUUAACGUGGAAAAUUGGUACGACGAGGGUAAAGCCAGAGGUUCGAUUUUUUUCUGCAGAUUUUUUCAGUGGCCGUUAGGACUCUCUCGUCUCUCUUUCUCGCUACUCCUUUCCCUCUCUCGAAGCCAGAACGUUAUUUUCUUCCUUGCCCUCCUUCGCGCUGCGUCCGUGGUAACGUCGGGUAAGGUGAGUUGCCAUUAAGAAUUUCCAACGAAUGCUCCGUGAGUCAAGGAAGAAGCUGUGUUUGUUCAUGACUAGCUGAAGCAAUCUGCAGUACUACUUGCCUUCAACAAGUUAUAUUUUUGCUUGUUGACUAUGCAAUCACGUUUAACCGGAUUUCUUAGUUUGUUGUUUGCUUUGGUUAAACGAAGAUGCUUCUUGUUUCUUCUUUCUGUUAACAAGUGUCUUAGAUUGUUGUUUAAUCGGAUUGGAUGCUUCUUUCUUCUUCUUGCGAAUAGGUGUUCUAGGCUUCUAGCUUCAAUUUUUUCCUGUACUCGAUGUUUAUUCCUUAGGUGGAAAUCCUAUUUGAAAAUAAGAAAAUGAAAUGAAGCUUCCCUCUGUAAACAAGUUACUGUAAACGUCAGAGUGGCCUCGUACUCUUAAUGGAAAUUGAAGAAAAUUAAUCAUGUAUAGCUCAUUGCUGGGCUGCAAUUCUUUGUUGAAAGGAUUCAUGGUGGCCGUUAGCAUCU